AUAGUCCGGUUCCCCUUAAAUACAAAAAAAUCGUUUGCCUUUUACUAAAGAUUUCUGUGGAGGGGAGCAUACAAAGGCGUCUAGUAAUUUAAUUUUUGUAAAGGCCUGAAAAAAAGCAUC